rnacentral:rRNA from 1 species
UACAGAGACUGCAAGCGUUAUUCGGAUUCACUGGGCGUAAAGGGUGCGCAGGCGGUCGGGUGUGUCAGAUGUGAAAUCCCGAGGCUCAACCUCGGAACUGCGUCUGAAACUACUCGACUAGAGUACUGGAGAGGGUAACGGAAUUCACGGUGUAGCAGUGAAAUGCGUAGAUAUCGAGAGGAACACCAGUGGCGAAGGCGAGUCCCUGGACAACGACUGACACUGAGGCACGAAAGCUAGGGGAGCAAACAGG